UUUAUCUGUGACCUUAAUUGCCUACUAUCUUUAAGCUGUUAGUGUCUUAACGACCGUUCCACAGCUGCAUGUUCAUUAAUUCUUUAUGGUUCAUUGAACAAGCAUGGGAAGUGUUUAAACCCUUCACAAUGAAGAUCUGUGAAGUUAUUUGGAUUUUUACAAAUUUUCUUUGAAAGACAGGAUCCUGAAAAAGGGACAUUUUUUUUCUGAGUUUAUAUUUGUCAGUGUUGUCAGUUACUCAACCUUCCCCAAAAUGGGCUGGAAGAUAUUUGAAAGUGCCAAGAAAUAGGCUUAGAAUUGAAUGUCGGAACUGGAGCAAAAUAUAAUCUUGAUUUGCAUUUUUACUGACUAAUGCCGUAAUGGUUGAGGUUUCGGAUUUAGGUAAGUGGAUUAGUAGAGCUUGCCAACAUGAUGUCUGAGAUAUUCUAGAAUACAACUUUGAUCUUCUUUUGCAAAAUGAGUAACGAUAUGACUUAAAAAAAAUUGACAGAAGCAAGAUGCAUUACAAGAGAACCUGGGUGGUUAACGGAAGUGUUUGAACUUCCUGAUCCAAAGACAAUGAAAGCAGGACAAUACUCCCUUACAUGGGCAAUAAGCUAUUUGCAUACAGUGCCUUCGGAAAGUUUUCAGACCCCUUUUUCCACAUUUUGUUAUGUUAGUCUUAUUCUAAAAUUGAUUAAAUUAAACAAUGUCCUUAGCAAUCUGCGUUCAAAAGUGCUACCCAUGCUGCAAGGAAAUAGGCCUGGACCUCGACAUUGCAUCCAAACCUGCAAAAAACAAAACGUGAAUUUCAGUUACUAGUAAUGGUGUAAAUAUUUUAUAAAAGAAUGUAAAAAGGCUAAAGGAUAUGCGUCUUUUCUCUAUGAUAGCCUAGAAUACGUGUUUGAUCUUAAAGUGGAACUGACAGCGUAUUAUUUUUAUUGACUUCAACUCAAUCUGAUCUUAGACAGUUUUUUUUGUUUACCGGUGAUUUUGUGUGGCCUACCACUUCGCGACUGAGCCGUUGUUGCUCCUAGAUAUUUCCACUUCACAAUAACACUUACAGUUCACCGGGGCAGCUCUAGCAGGGCAGAACAAACUGACUUAUUGGAAAGGUGACAUCUUAUGACGGUGCCAUGUUGAAAGUCACUGAGUUCUACAGUAAAGCCAUUCUACUGCCAAUGAUUGUCUAUGGAGAUUGCAUGGCUGUGUGCUCGAUUUUAUACACCUGUCAGCAACGGGUGUGCCUGAAAUAGCCAAACCCACUUAUUUGAAGGUGUCCAUAUACUUUUGUGUAUGGGAUUUGUGUUAAAGUUAAGUCUUUGAAUAGUGGAUUUUGCAGAUUCCCUUGGCCUCCUGUUGGUUCACUUUUGUUCUUGCUGUGAAGACUGAUUUUAUUUCUAGACUUCUUUUUUCUUCACCAAUAAACAUGUUCAUUGACUAGCCUAACUUUUCUACCUUUGAAAGCGUCUGUACAUGAACUCCUGAUCUUUUUUUUUAUGUAAAUAAGGCGAACAAGGAUAUUUUUUCUAAUUAAGAGAAGGCCUAGGCAUUGGUAAAAAACCUAUGGAUCAUGUUUUUCUUCUUGCAAGUUUGUUUUUCAGACAUUUUUGGAGUGACUUUUAUCCGUGGGCUAUUUCUAUAUAUAUUUUUUUUUAAAUCUUUUUUUCUUUUGAGAAGGAGAGAUUAAGAAAGACACUGCAUCAAGACUUGCUUUGCAGUUACCCAUAUUGUUCUGUUCUAAGGUCAACUAUGAAGUGAAAGUAUUUUUUAUUUUUAAGGACACUUUCAUUGACAUUCUUAGGUGUCCCUCUGACAACCUGUGGCAUUACAAGGUAUGCAAGUAAAAAUGAGGAGCACCAGAAAGAUGUGAAAGGAAAGGAGGAUAAACUGCACUGAUUCCAGAUAAAAUAUUAGCCUCUGAAGACUGAGCGGCCUCAUGCUAGCCAGAAUGAGGUUAGCAUUUGAUUUGUAGGGCUGUAGCCACUGUGGUAGUUGUCACUUGCAAGAUACAAUAUAAUUCACAGAAUUUUACGCUGGCACUGUGCUGCCUCUCGCCCCAAGUGAGCGGUCCUUGCUAUCCGGGAUCCUUGAGACAUCGUUCCGCAUUGUUUUGAAACACCAUGUAAACACUGAGAAUGUAAAGCAACUUUUAUGUCUACCUGGCAUUUUCUUUGGACUUUUUGUCACCUUUUUUAGACAAAUGAGUGGAUUGUCUUUUUGUUUAUAUUUUAAUUAAUAAAUGUAUACUUUUUUUGUCAUUUAGACUCUUAUCCAAGUGCUUACAGUUUCGUGGAUGUUUUUGUGAUAUUCAUUUUUCUGAGCAGAUGUUAUUUUUAGCCAUUUUUGGAGGCUGACUUAUUUUGUUUAUUUUUGCUUUUUUUUUCCUGGGAGGAUUAACACACUUUUUGAAAGAGUCUUCCUACUUCUCCCAUUUGUGGACUUUCUAAAAGGAGUUUCUUUCUGGCAAUCUCUGGAGUGUCUUUGGAACAAAGGGUGCUGCGUCUCUGUAUCAACCCGGCUGAGCAUGCGCCCCAAAAGCAGAAAGGUCAUGUUUGACGGAACUCUUCAGAAAUGACCGUGGUACCUGCAGGCAUUUGGAAAUUGCUCCCAAGGAUGAACCAGACUUGUGGAGGUCUACAAUUCUUUUUCUGACGUCUUGGCUGAUUUUCUUUUGAUUUUCCCGUGAUGUCAAGCAAAGAGGCACUGAGUUUGAAGACUACCAUGGUGGUUUCCCGCUUCAGCCAGCCCAGGACUUUAGGAGAGACGGUCUGUGUCUGGCCUCCAGAAGGUCUCCUACACCACCCCCCCCCCUUCCUAGACGUUCUCCUAGCUACAAACACCACACCUUCCGCUCACGAUCUCCUCACCAAGUCCCUUCACACCACCCUACGCCAACACCAACCGAUCUACUCCCCACAUAGUGACAAUGGUACGCCCCGGCUCUAUGAUUAGACCUCAUUGCUGUCGGAAGAUACCACUCCAGAGCGGGGGUGGUCGCUUGUGAGGAAUGGACACAGCCGGAGGGGCGAAAUGGACCAAUGGGAGUGCAGUUCUGAGAGGGGAGGUAGGAACACUCAACUCCUCCCCCUGAGCCCCCUCCGCAGGACUGAACCCUCUCGAGACGGGGGACUGGGACAGACAGGGAAGGGGAAAGAAGUGAACAGAUAUUCACCAGGACAGUCGCAGAAUGGUCACCAUGGAAACAUACCACCUGUACCAGUUCAGGACAUGAGAUCACCACAUUGAUCAUUUUUAAGACGAAACAGUCUCUGGGUGAGUAUGCCCAUCAGAGAGUCAGCCGCCCACUAAUCAGUAGCCUAUUACCCGGCCCCACCAGUAGAGGUCAGUGCAUCACCUGCUUAUUGUUAUUAAUGGCCCAGUCUGAAAAAGACCCUUAGUAAGGCUUUUUACCGUGUCUCUUUAGACUACAGCAACAGUUGGUCAUCUUCCCCUGUAGAUGCAGGAUUUCAAUCUUGCCAAAGCAGUAACACAACUGAUUCAACUAAGUCUUUUACUAAAGACUAUGAUUUUUAGUUGAUUGGCAAAAACCUAUACUGGCACUCUGUGGAGAAAUUCCGUGUCUCUACAGGUAUCAGUAUCUCAGGUGGGAUGGAGAAUGAGAUGUUUCCAGGAGGAGCUGCCUCUACCAGUGACACUCUGAUGGCAAGGUAUGAGCUGGUUUCAGUGGACGGUGAGGCUCUGCAGCGUGUGACCCAUCACCAUGCAGUGUUCAGCAACAAGGCCAAAGACCCCGUGGUGUUCGUCAAGAUCCUCAAGGGACCAGCUGACUUGCAUCAGAGAAAUCCACUGUCAGGCUUACACAAGUACUACACACAGUAUUUUUAUUGAACCUUUAACUAGGCAAGUCAGUUAAGAACAAAUUCUAAUUUACAAUGAAGGCCUACCCUGGCCAAACCCGGAUGACGCUGGGCCAAUUGUGCACCGCUCUAUGGGACUCCCAAUCACGGCCGGAUGUGAUACAUUCUGGAUUCGAACCUGAGACUGUAGUGACGCCUCUUUCACUGAGAUGUAGUGCCUUAGACCGCUGCGCCACUCGAGAGCCCAGUACUGCUGACCUGUCUACAAGGAUGCUCUGAGGUGCAGUUCACCCAUCCACUGGAAAUGAUUUGAAAUGGUGGUGUUCAAACCAGAACGCAUGUCGACUUAAAGAGGAGGAGGAUUCCUCUGAUGCAGAUGGUUCGCUCCAGCUAGGCUGCAAUGAAAGGGAAGAGGAGCAUGGGUACCUCGACACUGACCAAUAAGCUUGCUUCUCCUCUAGGGCAAAAAGGAUAAUGGUUGUUUCCAUAGCAAACAGGAAAUACUGCCAAAAUUUAAAUGUUUUUACAUUUUGUUGUAACUGCAGUCGACAUGUGGGACUACUGUGCUUGCUUUGUGUAUAACAAUGUGAUAAAUACUAUUUAUCAAAGAUGGACUUGAUUAUAUGUAUCCUUUUUCUUAUAUGAACUUAUAUUUUUGUAGAAAACACCCCUAAGAAUAAAAAGGAGUCAGCAGCUAGCUAUCCAUAUUGGUAUAUGGAUCAUCAAGGGACGGGAACUUUAGUUUGUGAAAGCAGAGAACAAAAAACAUGCACACUUAAGCGCACACACACACACACCGUUCCAGGGAGCAUCUCAGUCCAUGGGGGUCCUGCCAGAGAGAGAUUACUGUAUCCAGCGUUAUGAGAUUUAUAGUCCAGAUUAAGCCUCUGUAUUAUGUCAAAAGUCAUCAUUGUAGUUUAAUAGAUGUCUAGGGCAUCUGUUUAAAGUUGUGUUUCUGGCCUGUUUAAAACUGUUUCUGGCCAACAGAGCCCAUGUUUCUGGAUCAGGCUUGUGGACUGAGCCUGUGAAGACGUGUUGGAGAACUUAAAUGUUAAAUGCAGCAUAUGAGGACCAGUGGCAUGGCUUAAACUAGGGCUGGGUAGAGAGGUAGAGAGGGGCUAGGAUUGGGGUUAGAGGGUGGGAGGCGAACUAUAUGGGUCUGGGGCAGGGAGAGGGGCUAAGGCUGGGAAAGAUUGGCUAGAGCUGGGAUAGAGGGUGGGAGAGAGGGGCUGCAUGAGUCUGGGAAGGGCUGAUGCCAGGUCAAAGGCUAAGUUUAGGUUCCUAACUCCAAAGAAUCACCAGUGAAGUACAUUAUGCAUAGUGCCUUUUACAUUUAUGAGACAAAGGGCCUGAGAGAUGCUUACAUAUGACUUGCUGGAGUGUCUGGCUGGUGACAAAUGCUGCUGUAUAAUGUUCAAUGGCAUUAUGGUCAGAUAAGCUUCUGUUAUAUACAUUUAGUUGAUGCAUAAUACAUAUGUAACUAGCAUUUAAGGUGCAUCCAUAAUGCCUUUUGAUCAUCAUACAAAUUGAUCACAAUAAAUGUUCAUUUUAUUUACACUUUA